ensembl:misc_RNA Y_RNA Y RNA
GGCUGGUCCGAGUGCAGUGGUGUUUACAACUAAUUGAUCACAACCAGUUACAGACUUUGUUUCUUCUCCAGUCCUGCUGCUUCACUUGACUAGCCUUUU